CCUACGGGAGGCAGCAGUAGGGAAUCUUGCUCAAUGGGGGAAACCCUGAAGCAGCAACGCCGCGUGAAGGAUGAAGGUCUUCGGGUUGUAAACUCCUUUUGUUAGGGAAGAUAAUGACGGUACCUAACGAAUAAUGACCGACUAACCCCGUGCCAGCAGCCGCGGUAAUCCGGAGGGUGCAAGCCUUACUCGGACUCACGGGGCGUAAAGUGCGCGGAGGCGGGGUAGCAAGUCAGAUGUGAAGUCCUCGGGCUUAACCAGAGAACUGCAUUUGAAACUGUUAUUCUAGAGUAUGGGAGAGGUAAGUGGAAUUCUUGGUGUAGGGGUAAAAUGCGUAGAGAUCAAGAGGAAUACUCAUGGCGAAGGCGACCUGCUAGAACGUAACUGACGCUGAUGCGCGAAAGCGUGGGGAGCAAACAGGAUUAGAUACCCUAGUAGUC
rnacentral:rRNA from 1 species